CUAAGAAUAUUCCGCAAUGGACGAAAGUCUGACGGAGCGACGCCGCGUGGAUGAUGAAGGCCGGAAGGUUGUAAAAUCCUUUUAUGACUGAGGAAUAAGUGAAGUGAGGGAAACGCUUCAUGGUGACUGUAGGUCAUGAAUAAGCAACGGCUAAUUACGUGCCAGCAGCCGCGGUAACACGUAAGUUGCGAGCGUUGUUCGGAAUUACUGGGCGUAAAGGGCGUGCAGGCGGCCACCGCAAGUUGAAUGUGAAAUCCCUGGGCUUAACCCGGGAAGUGCGUUCAAGACUGCGGGGCUUGAAUACGGGAGAGGAUCGUGGAAUUCCUGGUGUAGAGGUGAAAUUCGUAGAUAUCAGGAGGAACACUCGUGGCGAAGGCGACGGUCUGGACCGAUAUUGACGCUGAGAC
rnacentral:rRNA from 1 species